rnacentral:misc_RNA from 1 species
GAUGAAGAACGCAGCGAAAUGCGAUAAGUAGUGUGAAUUGCAGAAUUCAGAGAAUCAUCGAAUCUUUGAACGCACAUUGCGCCCUUUGGUAUUCCUUAGGGCAUGCCUGUUCGAGCGUCAUUUAAACCUUCAAGCUAAGCUUGGUGUUGGGUGACUGUCCGCCUCACGGCGGACUCGCCUCAAAAUUAUUGGCGGCCGGUACAUUGGCUUCGAGCGCAGCAGAAACGCGAACUCGGGCCCGUCGUAUUGGCUCCCAGAAGCUAUCUUCACAAUUUUGACCUCGGAUCAGGUAGGGAUACCCGCUGAACUUAAGCAUAUCAAUAAGCGGAGGA